rnacentral:misc_RNA from 1 species
UCAAAACAGCGGACUUCGGUCCUUGCUGCACCCUUGUCUUUUGCGCACCGUAAUUGUUUCCUCGGCGGGCUUGCCUGCCGGUUGGGACAUUAUCAAAACCUUUUUGUAGUUGCAAUCAGCGUCAGAAAAAUCAAUAAUUAUUA